GACGAACGCUGGCGGCGUGCUUAACACAUGCAAGUCGAACGGAAAGGCCCUGCGUUUGUGGGGUGCUCGAGUGGCGAACGGGUGCGUAACACGUGAGUAACCUGCCCUUGACUUUGGGAUAACUUAAGGAAACGGGGGCUAAUACCGUAUAGGAUCUCAUGCUGCAGGGUAGGGGUUGGAAAGUUGCGGCGGUUGGGGCUGGACGCGCGGGUGAUGAGCUUGUUGGUGGGGUAGUGGCUGACCAAGGCUUUGACGGGUAGCCGGCCUGAGAGGGUGACCGGCGUCCUUGCGCCUACGAUACGGCCCAGUCUGCUACGGGAGGCAGUGGGGGCGAACCUUGCACAAUGGGCGCACGUGUGAUGCAGCAGCGUCGCGUGCGGGAUGCCGGUUUUUGGGUUGUAAAACGCUUUCGCCUGUGACGACGCGUGAGUGACGGUACUCAGUAAAGAAGCACCGGCUAACUACGUG
rnacentral:rRNA from 1 species